AGGACGAACGCUGGCGGCGUGCUUAACACAUGCAAGUCAAGGGGGCGGAGCAAUCCGCAACCGGCGAACGGGUGCGUAACACGUGAGCGACCUAUCGUGGUGUGGGGGAUAGCCGGCCCAACGGCCGGGUAAUACCGCAUGCGCUCUUUGGGGGGCAUCCCUUGGGGAGGAAAGUCUUCGGACGCACGGCGAGGGGCUCGCGGCCUAUCAGCUAGUUGGUGGGGUCAUGGCUCACCAAGGCAUCGACGGGU
rnacentral:rRNA from 1 species